rnacentral:rRNA from 1 species
AUGGCGGCCGCGCCGACGGGGGUCGCGUGCCCGGUCUACCCGUGGCCGAGCGACGCGGCGCAGCGCGGGGCCAAGGUGUUCAUGCAGAGCGACUGCGCGGCGUGCCACUCCGCGCUCCCCUACGCCGGCCUCCGCGGCGCGGCGGUGCCGGGCCAGGACGCGGUAGCCAGGACGGCAGAGAUCCUCGUUGCCGCCGCGGCCACGGAGGAGGCGCUGCCGGCGACGGGGAUGACGCCGACCCAGUACACGCCGGACCUCGCCACCGUCGCCACAAGAAUCCAGGGCGGGCUGCGGUGCAACCUCUACUCCACUGGGACGGCGACGGCGCCGGCGCCCGUUAGGGCGAUGCUCGCCGGCGGCGCCGCGGCGUGCCAGGAGCUGAAGAAGAGCCCCGUGUGGCUGCAGUUUGCCCAGGCCUUCCAGGCAGUUUGA